UUGUAUUUGUAUUUCUAGUACUACUGCAUCAGAAACUGCUGCUUUGUUGCCUUCAUCAGAGCACCACACUGAAACCAGUUACUUGCAUGAAAACAGGGAGGAAAUUGGACAUACUAUAACUGAUCUGGUGGUCAAUAGUUCUCAGCAUUCUCUACAUUCAUGUACUGACAGUACUGUUCCCCAAGUAGUUCAACCAGUUCAGUCUACACACAAUCCAUCUGAUGUGCCAUUUGAGUCAGAGCCAGAGAAGAUCACUAUCGCUGGUAUUUCUGCUGGUACUAAUAAAAGUGAUAAGAAUCUCCUUGUCCUGCCCACUGCUGCUUUACAAAGACAAUUUUCCCAAGAGUAUCCACGUCAGAAAAUACUAGAGGGCCCUUGUCCUACUACACCUACUGCUGUAACUCCUACUGACCAACUUGGAACUGAUGAAAGAUGCGACCAGAAUUAAUUAAGCUUAAUAAAAUUUAUUGUAAUAUUUGUGUUACUGCCUUACUGCUACAUUUUUAUAUAUUGCUGAUAAUUUUAUGUUGUAACAUGUCAUGUGAUUGUGUAUUUAUUUAUACUUCUCAUAUAUUGUAUAAUGUUUCAUUGUUUAUGUCCAGUGUAAUUGUUUUAGCUAUUUUUUA
rnacentral:lncRNA from 1 species